rnacentral:rRNA from 1 species
AACGUAGGAGACAAACGUUAUCCGGAGUUACUGGGCGUAAAGGGCGUGCAGGUGGUCUGUUAAGUCUGGCGUGAAAGCUCUCGGCUAAACCGGGAGAGGUCGUUGGAUACUGGCGGACUAGAGGACGGUAGAGGCGUGUGGAAUUCCGGGUGUAGUGGUGAAAUGCGUAGAGAUCCGGAGGAACACCAGUGGCGAAGGCGACACGCUGGGCCGUACCUGACACUAAUACGCGACAGCAUGGGGAGCGAACGGGG